rnacentral:lncRNA from 1 species
UUAGUACGAACUGGCGGUCAUAAACUUAAAUUUUUCUGUUAAAACCCGUUUGUUCCCACCACGUCCGGCGCUGAAAAUCUGAAAAUUCGUCAACACUUGGCACAUAUUUGAGAUCAACGGAAAAACUGUUGUUCAUGAAGAAGCUUGUCUUGAAACUAUGCUAUCAUUGCCUCACAUUCGUCCACGUCAGGCUCUGUGCUGUGGCAGCCGAAUCAAGCUACAAAUCUGGCGUACCUCAUGUUGAUAAUUUGACCCUCAGAGAGCAGAAUUUCGGGCAGACCGGAAAUGAGGGACAGGAAACGGAAGUGGCGGAUUCGAGUAAACGUUGGGCGGAGGUGAACGUUGAAAAGGUAGAAAAUUACUUGUCCCUCGAUGAGCACGAUGAAAGCCUGCGUGGCACAGUGGUGGUGAGUCGUUUCAUAAAUUCGUUUUUAUCGAAUUCUGCCAUUAGAAAACCAAUUUUAAGAGAACAGAGAACCAUAUGGUAUGUGGCAGAUGGAUGUGAUCUUUAAAUUUGUUAAAGAAGAUAGAGAAGUUUGUCAAAUUUCCUCGUGAGUAACAUUAGACAUGAAAUUGGAGGGCUCAGGUUUUCAUACUUUUUUUUAAAAUUUUUAUAGUAUUCCCGACUGAAAAUGACUCAGUUGUGAGUCGAAACGUCUCGGUUUUCAUUGAUUGUGUGUUUUAGCCUUGUUUCCCUUUUUUCCCCCCUUGUUUUUCCAUGAAAUUGGAUCGGUCUAAAAAAGAAGGUUGGCAUCAGUGGCGUGGCGUGCUUUGCAAUAUAUCGAUUGAUCAGUCAUUUGAACCUAUGGAAAAGUAUCGAUAAACAGGGUGUUCGCAGCGAGCACUUUAAUAGUCGAUUCAUUACCAUAGGUUUAAAUGGCAGAACAAUCGAUACAUCGCAAUUCACGCCUCGCCACUGGUGCCCACAUUUUCUUUACUUUAGACCGAUCCAAUUUCAUGUCUGAUGUGAUUCAUGCGAAUGAAGCUAAUAAUUUUUCCCUGAGACUGCGGCUGCUGUAAAUUUUUAGCGGAGGGCAGGUCGCUCCCGCACCCCAAGGUGUAGAAGGUGGAACAAUAAUUUUUCAUCAUGUCAAAGGGCUAAUAACAACUACUGAAUCGGAUGGAAAUCACCCCACCGCUGGGGUUGUUCCAGGAGAGAAAAAGAAUCAACCAAUAGGCGUGAGCGUUGAAACCAAGCCAAAGCAUGAGUUCACUCUGAAAAAAACCGUGCCGGAGGGACACCUUCAUGACGAUUCUUACUCGGUCGAUUAUGACGCAAUAAGUAGGUACAGAAUGUAUGUUGCCUCACAUCCUUAAUUCGGUAAAAAUAUUAUGUGAUUUCCUUCCUUUAUUCUGAUUUAUUUUUUAACUGAAAUAACCCAAAGGGGUCGUCCGUAAAGUACGUAACGCUCUAGGAGAAGGAGGAGGGAGUAGAGCAGAGACAUACGCCAUUUUGUUUUUACGUGCUAAAAGAUAUUGGGACCUACGUCACAAAAGCAUUAUAAGGUGGGAGGGGGUCAAAAAUGUCGAAAUAGUGCGUCACGUAAUUUGUGGACGGCCCUUUCUCUAAACUUAUAUGCAGAAAUUUAUAAUAUACAACGAAGUCAAUCCGCAGUGUCAGGUAUGGUCUUAUUGCUUUCGAUAUAUUUGUAAUAGGCCGCUGGACAAAGUCUCCCAAGUGGUAUUUUUUAAUGGCAAAAUUGCGAUAUUUUGAAAUUCAGUCGCGACUUUUUACGAUUUUGGCGAUAAAAUCGCCAGGCUCAUCAAUAUCUGAGCGAUUAUCCUCAAUCUGGUCGCAAUUUUAUCUCCAUGAAAUCACGCUCGAUGAAAUCGAAAUUUUACCAAAACUUAUCACGAUUUUUUGUUCGAUAAUAUCGCUCGUCGAUAAAAUCGCGAUUUUAUUGCAAAUUUAUGACAUGAGACUGAAAAUUAUCGAAAAUUUUCAUCCUAUAAUAAUGCAAUAAAUCGAUGUCGAUAAACUCGCGAUACAUUCUCUGAUCAAAUUUCGGAAAUCAACCUGUAUGCAAGGUAUUAACAAGUUUCUCUAGCACAGAUAACAUUACAAAAAUGACGUCAUUUGCAUUGUCACUAUUUAAUCAAUUUCAAUUGUAGGAAUCAUUUCUUGUACAGAAGUCGAUUUUCAGAUUUUCUUGUCAAGUGAUUCGUUUCUCUCAUGAAAUUUUGCAGAGAUAAUAUGUUGCGCUGAUUUAUAUGUUUGACUCGGGACCCAUUCAUGAAUUUUCAAGUUUUGCAAAUCGUUUCUACCGUCAGAUACAAUUUCUAAAUAUAUUUUACACAUAAGGACCCAUCUUAAGCAUAUUUAGAACACGAAUAACUAACUCAAAUUAUCCAAUAGUGAAAGUAACGACCUUUUGCUCUCAGUUACCGAAAAAAGUCAUAAUAAAAGAAAUUUUAAUUUUUAAUAGAAACGAGUUCUCGUGAAGAAAUGUUUGUUUCCUCUAAAAGGAAAAUACAUAAUAGAGACUAUGUAAGUCCGGGAAAGAUGGAUUGAAUUAUAAAAUCACACGAAAAGCGUGUACUGUAUGUUUUCUAAGAAACUCAUCUUUGUUUUGUUCCUAUAACAUUCGCUUUAGAAUAGAAACCUUGGAAUCCUCAAAGGAGACAGUUUCACUAAGUUGACAGAUUAUUACUCGCCAUCAGAUAUCCAACAUUGGCGGAUACGACUUUUCUUUUCAAAACGGCUCAGCAGGUAGAAGUUCAAUUAAAUGUUAGUGCAAACUUCUGAUCUUUCAUAAUGUAUUUACAUUUAUUUUUUGUUUUUGUGUAUAUAGCUGUAGGGCCUGAUUACGACGGGCCAAGGUUAGAAGACGGUAUGAUUUCACUGCCCUUCAUGAGGGAUCUAGCGGAGCAUUUCAGAGCGAAAAAAAGACUGCACUCUAAGUACGCUUACCAAGUAAGUUUUUUAUUUUGUCAUGUUAUACAUUUUUUUUUUUUUUUUUGCAUUUCAGCCUUAAGGAAAAAGAAUAUACUCUAAUAUCUGGUUCGCAUCUUUGUGUCUAACAUGCUAGGUGGAAACGGGCAUUCUAUAUUAUGAUGGGGUAACUCUCAAAUGUUUAAAAGGUCAGCUAUGCAUUAAUAAGAUGCGUCCUAAGUGGUGAAUGUGAACACAGUACUAGCGAUAGCAACUCAAAUUGACGUCUUAUGAAGACAGGAAUAUCCUCGCAACACAUCACUAACAUUAAGUAAAAGAAUUCAAGUUAAAAUAUGCUGAUCUCCAUACUCCUUGACAAAGUGAAGUCUAUCUGACAUAGAAAGCUCGGAAAGAGAUAAUCUUGACCCUAAUCACUUACGAGCUUGUCCCAUAUUUUGCAACGGUAAAUCUAAGGCCUUGUUCACAUGAGUGCAGUUCGCGGAAUUUCGGGCAAACUUGUUGCAGGAACUUAUCAUAACUUAGCUGUACCUUUUUCUCCGAACCCCCAGUUCAUGGAACUAAAAUUCGUUCAAACUGUGCUCAUGUGGACAAGGGCCUAGUUUGUGAGAACCCUAUGCGCAUUCAUUCAGCCACUCAAGAUCUACAGGCAAUAAGGUAAACACUACCAGCGGGCUGAUUAUUGAAAUCGAUGGACAAAGCUAUGGACAAAGAAGACAAAUUGAAAAUUAAGGGAUUCUAUUGGUGGAAGUGGGUGGUUGCAUUGGACAAAGGAAGUAAGUCUGCCUAAAUUGAGUCAUUUUUCUCUCUUAUGAUUCUUAAAAAGUAUGCUAAAUGUUAUUAAAUACGGAUGACAGGACUUAGUGAGUUUUUGGAAUACCGAUCUCUUUUUGUGCCGUAGUAUAUUGAUUUAUUUUGCGGGGAAAGCUCCGUAUUCUUACAUGAUACCUGUCAUUCUUAAUAUGCUGGAGCGCCUUCAAUUUCGUGUGAUACUGUGCAACACCUCUGUUGUAAAAUAGUUG